rnacentral:rRNA from 1 species
CACGUAGGGGGCAAGCGUUGUCCGGAUUUAUUGGGCGUAAAGAGCUCGUAGGCGGUUCGGUAAGUCGGGUGUUAAACCCUCAGGCUCAACCGUGGGCCCCACCGAUACUGCUGUGACUAGAGUCCGGUGAGGGGAGCGGUAGGCGAAUUCCUGGUGUAGGCGGUAGAAAUGCGCAGAUAUCAGGAGGAACACCAGCGGCGAAGGCGGCGCUCUGGGCCGGAACUGACGCUGAGGAGCGAAAGCGUGGGGAGCAAACAGG